UACGUAGGGGGCGAGCGUUGUCCGGAUUCAUUGGGCGUAAAGCGCGCGUAGGCGGCUCCGCAAGUCGGCCGUGAAAUCUCCGGGCUCAACUCGGAGGGGUCGGGCGAGACUGCGAGGCUCGAGGUGGGCAGAGGGCAGUGGAAUUCCGGGUGUAGUGGUGGAAUGCGUAGAGAUCCGGAGGAACACCAGUGGCGAAGGCGGCUGCCUGGGCCUGGCCUGACGCUGAGGAGCGAAAGCGUGGGGAGCGAACAGG
rnacentral:rRNA from 1 species